GACGAACGCUGGCGGCGCGCCUAACACAUGCAAGUCGAACGAGCGAGAGAGAGCUUGCUUUCUCGAGCGAGUGGCGAACGGGUGAGUAACGCGUGAGGAACCUGCCUCAAAGAGGGGGACAACAGUUGGAAACGACUGCUAAUACCGCAUAAACCCACGACCCGGCAUCGGGUAGAGGGAAAAGGAGCAAUCCGCUUUGAGAUGGCCUCGCGUCCGAUUAGCUAGUUGGUGAGGUAACGGCCCACCAAGGCGACGAUCGGUAGCCGGACUGAGAGGUUGAACGGCCACAUUGGGACUGAGACACGGCCCAGACUCCUACGGGAGGCAGCAGUGGGGAAUAUUGCACAAUGGGGGAAACCCUGAUGCAGCGACGCCGCGUGGAGGAAGAAGGUCUUCGGAUUGUAAACUCCUGUUGUUGAGGAAGAUAAUGACGGUACUCAACAAGGAAGUGACGGCUAACUACGUG
rnacentral:rRNA from 1 species